UACAUAGGGAGCGAGCGUUAUCCGGAUUUACUGGGUGUAAAGGGUGCGUAGGCGGUUAAGCAAGUCAGAUGUGAAAUGUAUGGGCUCAACCCAUGAACUGCAUUUGAAACUGCAUAACUUGAGUGAAGUAGAGGCAAGCGGAAUUCCCUGUGUAGCGGUGAAAUGCGUAGAGAUAGGGAGGAACACCAGUGGCGAAGGCGGCUUGCUGGGCUUUAACUGACGCUGAGGCACGAAAGCGUGGGUAGCAAAC
rnacentral:rRNA from 1 species